UACGGGGGGGGGCAAGCGUUUGUUCGGAAUUACUGGGCGUAAAGCGCACGUAGGCGGCUUUGUAAGUUAGAGGUGAAAGCCUGGAGCUCAACUCCAGAAUUGCCUUUAAGACUGCAUCGCUUGAAUCAUGGAGAGGCGGGUGGAAUUCCGAGUGUAGAGGUGAAAUUCGUAGAUAUUCGGAAGAACACCAGUGGCGAAGGCGGCCCGCUGGACAUGUAUUGACGCUGAGGUGCGAAAGCGUGGGGAGCGAACGGG
rnacentral:rRNA from 1 species